rnacentral:rRNA from 1 species
GUCGAACGAGAAUGAGGGAGCAAUCCUUCUAGUAAAGUGGCGGACGGGUGCGUAACACGUGGAUAAUUUACCUUCCGGCGGGGGACAACAGUUCGAAAGGACUGCUAAUACCGCGUACGUCGGCGAGGGCUACGGCUCUUGUCGAGAAAGAUGGCCUCUCCUUGGAAGCUGUCACCGGAAGAUGAAUCCGCGGCCCAUCAGGUAGUUGGUGAGGUAACGGCUCACCAAGCCUAAGACGGGUAGCUGGUCUGAGAGGAUGAUCAGCCACACUGGGACUGCGACACGGCCCAGACUCCUACGGGAGGCAGCAGUGGGGAAUAUUGGGCAAUGGGCGAAAGCCUGACCCAGCCACGCCGCGUGAGUGAUGAAGGCCUUCGGGUCGUAAAGCUCUGUGGGGAGGGACGAAUAAGCCGGCCAACUACCGGCCCUGACGGUACCUCCUUAGCAAGCACCGGCUAACCAUGUGCCAGCAGCCGCGGUAAUACAUGGGGUGCAAACGUUGCUCGGAAUUAUUGGGCGUAAAGCGCGCGUAGGCGGUUACUUAAGUCAGAUGUGAAAGCCCUCGGCUUAACUGAGGAAGUGCAUCUGAGACUGAGUAGCUAGAGUAUGAAAGAGGGUCGCGGAAUUCCCGGUGUAGAGGUGAAAUUCGUAGAUAUCGGGAGGAACACCGGCGGCGAAGGCGGCGACCUGGUUCAAGACUGACGCUGAGGCGCGAAAGCGUGGGGAGCAAACAGGAUUAGAUACCCUGGUAGUCCACGCCGUAAACGAUGAGUGCUAGAUGUUUCUGGUAUUGACCCCGGAGGCGUCGUAGCUAACGCGUUAAGCACUCCGCCUGGGGAGUACGGCCCGCAGGCUAAAACUCAA